rnacentral:rRNA from 1 species
AGAGUUUGAUCCUGGCUCAGAACGAACGCUGGCGGCAUGGAUUAGGCAUGCAAGUCGAACGGCGAGGAGGGGGCAACCCCUCCAAGCAGUGGCGAAAGGGUGAGGAACGCGUGAGCAACGUACCCCCAAGUUGGGAAUAGCUCCGGGAAACUGGAAUUAAUACCGAAUGUGGCCCCCUUCCGCAUGGGAGGAGGGCUAAAGGCUUGCCGCUUGGGGAUCGGCUCGCGCCCCAUUAGCUAGUUGGCGGGGUAACGGCCCACCAAGGCGACGAUGGGUAGCUGGUCUGAGAGGACGACCAGCCACACUGGGACUGAGACACUGCCCAGACUCCUACGGGAGGCUGCAGUCGAGAAUCUUCCGCAAUGGGCGCAAGCCUGACGGAGCAAUGCCGCGUGCCGGAUGAAGGCCUUCGGGUCGUAAACGGCUGUCACCGGGGACGAAUCCAAUGACGGUACCCGGGGAGGAAGCCACGGCUAACUACGUGCCAGCAGCCGCGGUAAUACGUAGGUGGCGAGCGUUGUUCGGAUUUACUGGGCGUAAAGGGUUCGCAGGGGGCCGGUCAAGUCCGAUGUGAAAUCCCGGAGCUCAACUCCGGAACUGCAUGGGAAACUAAUCGGCUGGAGUCUCGGAGAGGAGAGUGGAAUUCCAGGUGUAGCGGUGGAAUGCGUAGAUAUCUGGAAGAACACCAAAAGCGAAGGCAGCUCUCUGGACGAGCACUGACCCUCAGGAACGAAAGCGUGGGGAGCAAACAGGAUUAGAUACCCUGGUAGUCCACGCCGUAAACGUUGUGUACUUGAUGUGGGGGGACUUGACCCCCUCCGUGUCGGAGCUAACGCGUUAAGUACACCGCCUGGGAACUACGGCCGCAAGGCUAAAACUCAAAGGAAUUGACGGGGACCCGCACAAGCGGUGGAGCAUGUGGCUCAAUUCGAGGCAACGCGAAGAACCUUACCCGGGCUUGACAUGUAUUGGACCGCGGCAGAAAUGUCGCUUUCCUUCGGGACCGGUACACAGGUGCUGCAUGGCUGUCGUCAGCUCGUGCCGUGAGGUGUUCGGUUAAGUCCGGCAACGAGCGCAACCCGCGUCGUCAGUUGCCCACAGGUAAUGCUGUGCACUCUGACGAGACUGCCCGUGUCAAGCGGGAGGAAGGCGCGGAUGACGUCAAGUCCGUAUGGCCUUUAUGCCCGGGGCUGCACACGUGCUACAAUGGCCGGUACAAUGGGACGCAAUACCGCGAGGUGGAGCAAAUCCUGAAAACCGGCCCCAGUUCGGAUUGCAGUCUGCAACUCGACUGCAUGAAGCCGGAAUCGCUAGUAAAGGCGUAUCAGCCACGACGCCUUGAAUACGUUCCCGGGUCUUGUACACACCGCCCGUCACAUCAUGGAAGCUGAUUGCACCCGAAGUCGUUGUCCCAACCCUUUAAACCGGGAGGAAGACGCCGAAGGUGUGGUCAGUGACUGGGAUGGAGUCGAAACAAGGUA